AGCUCAAUUGGUAGAGCAACUGACUUGUAAUCAGUAGGUUGGGGGUUCAAGUCCUCUCGGCGGCACCA
rnacentral:tRNA from 1 species